UACGUAGGGUGCGAGCGUUGUCCGGAAUUAUUGGGCGUAAAGAGCUUGUAGGCGGUUUGUCGCGUCUGCCGUGAAAUCUCAAGGCUCAACCUUGAGCUUGCAGUGGGUACGGGCAGACUAGAGUGUGGUAGGGGAGACUGGAAUUCAUGGUGCAGCAGUGAAAUGCGUAGAGAUCAUGAGGAAGACCAGUGGCGAAGGCGGGUCUCUGGACAGUUCCUGACACUGAGACACGAAGGCCAGGGGAGCAAACGGG
rnacentral:rRNA from 1 species